AGUUGCUGAGACUGGACAUGGACCAGGGCUUCACAUGCUGCCAUGUAAGUAAGCCUCAGCUCUCUGCCCUGCUUGCAGUGGACACUUGUGGGCCCUGCCCACCUGUGACACAAGGGAGCCCUCCGCUCACAGUCCAUGCAACCUCAUUUCUACAAUGCAGUCCCAGAAUAUAGAGAGUGGGUGGCCAGGAGGCCCCUAGGCCCCAACACCAGAGGCUCUGCCUUCUGAGGCUGUCCCAGCCCUACUAAGCAACUGUUGACAUUGUGCUUUUUUGUUUUUGUUUUUGAGACAAGUUCUUACUAUACAGUUCAGGUUGGACUUGAACUCACUAUAUAAUAAGCCCAGCCUAGGCUGGCCUCAAAUUAGCGGUGACCCUCCUGCCUCAGUCUCCUGAGUGUUGGCAUUACAGAGGUGUAACACCUCACCUAUCAAGCUGUGGACAACCUGUGGGAGGACAAUAAUACACUCCAAUUCUUUUUGUUGAAUAACAUGUAGCUUCCUGAACAGAGAGUGUUCUGUGUGCACAGGGAACAUGUAGAAGACAGAUGUGUCAGGAAGGCAGCUGCAUCCCCCGUCCUCCAUUGGGGAGCUGUGUUGGGUCUGCAAGGCCAGUUGGGGUUCUGGUCCCUACUCUGUGAUGGGCUCGGGUGGCACUGCCUUCACUGGUGUGAAGGGUUUUAACAACUUGCUGUGAGCCCUUGGCCACUGGCAAUUAUCACCACCCUGGUUAUCACUGUGGAUUACUUUAUAGCUCUUUCCCCCACUGCGCACGGAGGAAAUGAAAGCAAACAUCAGAUCUUCACUGGGAAUGGCUUUGAUGGUUGUGGAGUGACCCACGUCACAACUGUGUGGCCCUGUAGCCACUGGCCUGUUAAUGGACAGCUGGACAGCAGCAGCUUGGGCAGCAGAGUCUCUUCCUGGAAGUGAGGUGACACUGUGGCCUGGCACCAGGGGCUGGACCUGGGCUGCGACCUGGCUGCCCAGCCCUCCGCCUCCUGGACAGCUGGGUCUCCCAAAAUCUGCGUCCCCCUCGGAGCUGGUGUCUGGGAGGCCUGAGGGUUUGCACGGCUUCCUUUUCCCCAGGGCAAUGUCCCGCCUCAAAAUUGCAAAAGUGAAGGACUUUGAUUUGAGGAAAAAGCCUCAGAGCACCAUGUUCCAGAACAGUGGCAACAUAAAACAUUUGUUCCGCAGAACUGGAUUCAGAGUGCCCAGUGAUCCAAGCACUCGGUCCCUACAGCCAAAAGAGAGGAAAGCCUGGCUACCGCUCCAGCUGACAGCAGAACUUGGCAGCAUCCACGUGGCGCUGGCUUUAGUCACACAGAAUGCAAGAGUUCUGAGGUUAAAAGGACUUUCACCCUGAUUUCAGAAGCAGGCCGGGGAGCCCAUGCAGUGUGUCCCUGAGAGGGAACUGUGUGAAGCUGUGAGUGUGAAGACAAAAAUACAAUGGAGACCCCUGAAAUUUGGAAAAGCAGGAGUGUGGAUCAUUUAAGGAAAGCUGCAAGGAGGGAGCCAAGCCAGCCCAAGAGAGAAGCUGUGGGAGCUACUACCACCAGAAGUGCCAUAGGGGUGGAGUCACACAAGCCCUUUGGAGCUCACAAUUUGAUACAGAUGUUUCAGGUGCUGGAUGUGGGACUACGCUUGCCUUGCUUGAUUUUGGACUUGCUUUGGUCCCAAUCCUUUGUAUCCCUGUUUGUAAAUCUUGGAAUGGGAAUGUUAUCUUUUGCCACUGCAUGUUGGAAAUGUUUAACUUUGUUUUCAUUUGUACAGGUAGUUGCAGCUAAGAGUUUGCUUUAUAUAUUGGAGGGACUUGGACUUUACAACAAUGCUAAAACUGUUAGGACUUUGGCAACUUUUUCAGAUGGACUAAAUGUCUUUUGCAUAAAGGCAUGUGCAUGGGUCUUUGGAGGGCCAGGGACAGAAUUUUAUGGUUCCAAAGUAAUACAGUAUUGAUAGACUUAGUACUGGUUCUUAAGGAUCACUAAACUGUGCUGUAAUGUUCAAACUGUGAAAUGCUAAGCAUAAGUGUAGCCUUUGUAUCUGGAGGCUAGUUUAAAGAAAUAUGUCUGGUUGCCAAGUUGACAAGGGGUGGAUUGUUAUGGUUGAUACAUUGUGUCAACUUGAGAAGUCUAGACCCUUAAAAGACUCAACAGGAAGCCAGGGUUCUUUGUAAACAUCCUGAGCCUGUGCAAGAGGAGGGCAAGGAGAUUUUGUGAGCACUACACUGGCCUUGGGAGUGGGGGUAGCCUGUGUACAAUACAAAGGAGAAAUAGAGGCUUUCUUUUCCCUUCUUUACUCUAGCAGUUUUUGCUGUCUUUUUUGAGUUGAACUGUUGCCCCAGUGCCUUGCCACCCUGCCUUGGAGCCAGCUGAUUAUGGACUGCAACCUCUACACACUAUAAGCUAAAUAAACUGCUUAAUUUGG